GGGGGCCCGCAAGCGGUGGAGCAUGUGGUUCAAUUCGACGCAACGCGAAGAACCUUACCUGGGCUCGAAGCGCAGUGGACCGGGGUGGAAACAUCCCUUCCCCUUAAAAGGCUGCUGCGGAGGUGCUGCAUGGCUGUCGUCGGCUCGUGCCGUGAGAUGUUGGGUUAAGUCCCGCAACGAGCGCAACCCUUAUCCCUAGUUGCCAUCGGGUCAAGCCGGGCACUCUAGUGAAACUGCCUCAGAUAAUGAGGAGGAAGGUGGGGAUGACGUCAAGUCCUCAUGGCCUUUAUGUCCAGGGCUACACACGUGCUACAAUGGUCGGUACAAACCGUCGCAAACCCGCGAGGGGGAGCUAAUCGGAAAAAGCCGGCCUCAGUUCGGAUUGGAGUCUGCAACUCGACUCCAUGAAGCUGGAAUCGCUAGUAAUCGCGGAUCAGAACGCCGCGGUGAAUACGUUCCCGGGGCCUUGUACACACC
rnacentral:rRNA from 1 species